GAAACUAUACACAAAGUAACAACAAAACAAACAAAAUAUAUACAAAGAAAGAAACAUGUAUCUAUCCACAAACUUCUAAAUUGCAAGGAAUACAUACAAGAAUAUUUCUACUUUAAAAUAACAUAUAUAUAAAAUAGAAAUAACAAAUAAUAAACAUAUUAACCCUGUGAAGCCUGACAUGAAAUAAUUAACAAAAAAUUGUAUAAACAGUUCUUUUUAUAACAAAUAAUUGUUAAUGUAUAACAAUUAUUAGUUGCUUUUAUAAAGUACAUAUUCAUAUGAAAAAUCUGCAAAAAUCUCCCUGCAAAAAAACUUCUUUUAAGUCUGUUCAUGAAGGCAGCCAUAUUGGAAAAACCUGAAAAAAAAAACCCGACUUAAUUAAACAAAAUACAUUUGUCGGCUUCGAGUUUUGACGCUAUAUAAACCAGGCCACUGGGGGGCGCUCGGGUUGGGCGGCUGAUUAAAGGAAACGCAACAUGAAAGGCCAGAAACACCUGCGCCGACAAACACCCAAACACAGGGUUUUUUGUGCAAAUGUAACAGCCAACCAUUUUUUCCUAAAUUCUCCUCGAAGAAAUCUGUGGCAGAUCUGUCUAAUGCUGCUCGGACUCGAUGGCUGAUGGAGUAUGAAGAAAAUAAUUGGGUUCCCUGCCUCAUAUUGAACCGGCGUAUUGCUCAAGCAUGAUGUCCUACCACUGGCUGGAGUUCUCUUCAUUUGGAAAUCAUUCGCUGCAGCUGAAGAUGGCUCCACAUGAUUCAUGAAAUUAUUCUGAAGGGUUGAAAUGGACUUUGUGUCACCCAAACGAGGAUGGGUUUCCUUUUUGAUUGAUUCUUCUCAAGCUUUUUUUAUGUCUUAGGUAGUCUCCACUGCCACUGGCUUACAUACAGUAUAGGGACUAAUUUCUGGUGCUGAAAUGUUCACUCACAAUUCUGUAAAGCUGCUUUGGGACAUUUUGGGACAGAGUUAAAGCACUAUACAAAUAAAACUCCUUGUCGAAUGAAUGGGCGCCGGUGAACUCCGUGCGACCCGUAUAUGCAAAUCGAACAUCUGGGUGGAGCGAGAACGAUCACCGCAUUUUAUUUUACAAACGUGUGGUUCCGUUGCAGGCAAAUGACCCGUUUCUGUUUUCGUGUCACCGAUAUGCAGCGCAGAAGCAAAGAGUCUCUUCAGCCUUGAGUCUCCUCUGUACCAGUCCUUAUUAGAAAAGAAAAGCAGGGCUGAGUCUUCAAGCUGUUGUUUUGGAGAGCAGAGCAAACUAAGAUGUCAAAGAGAAUGGAGUGUGAAACCUGGCCACUGCCGGUGCUCUUAACAGGACUUUAAUGCAUCAGAAGCUUGGCAGAAAGUCAGGAAUUAAAAAAAAGAAAUGGCAUAGCAGCUUUCCAACUGAAACAGCUGUCAGACAGUUGUGGAUUUAUUCGAAUUCAAGGCCGAGGCGUGUCCUGAGUCAACUGGAAUACAGAUUAACAUGGCAGAGGUAGAGCUGUAACUAAAUGGAGACAAAAUAGGACAAAAACAUCUGCUUUUAUUUGCAUUUUUCUUUUUGCACUACAGAGGCCUGUUUGUGAAAA